rnacentral:rRNA from 1 species
AUACGGAGGGUGCAAGCGUUAAUCGGAAUUACUGGGCGUAAAGCGUACGUAGGCGGUCCGUUAAGUUAGAUGUGAAAGUCCCGGGCUUAACCUGGGAACUGCAUUUAAAACUGGCGAACUAGAGUUGAGUAGAGGGGAGUGGAAUUUCAGGUGUAGCGGUGAAAUGCGUAGAGAUCUGAAGGAACACCAGUGGCGAAGGCGACUCCCUGGACUCGGACUGACGCUGAGGUACGAAAGCGUGGGUAGCAAACGGGAGUAGAAACCCGAGUAGUCC